UGAGCCAAUCCUUGUUUUAUGGUCAUAUUUGCUUACGGUUUUCUGCAAAAUGUAGGGCCCAAAUUUUGCCCGGGCCCAAAAGCACAAACAAAAAAUAAACCAAAUAAUAAAAACCCAAAUAUAAAAUUAUAACAGUCCAGUAUUACAAGCCCACUAAACGUCAGUCCAAAAACACCUAACCCUAGUCCGAUAGCCCAAAACAAUUUCAACACAAAAAAUCAGCAGCAAACCCUAAAUCCCCUGGCGCCGCAAGCUCCCACGCGCACCUCCGCACGUACGCCGCCCUCCACGUCACCGUACGGCCUCCGUACACCUGCAGAAAAUCAACACGCAAAGAGCGCAACAAACGAGCAAAAGACAAGCAGAAACAGCACAACAAAAGGAGAAAAAAAAUUGUAAUAGCGAAGAAAAAACAGAAAGAGGGGCGAUUUUUGUAUUUUUCUUUUGGCUAUAUAAAGCCAUAACGAAAUCUGUAAAAUGAUGAAAAAAAAGAGAAAUAAAAAGAUCGAUAUUAAGGUGAUUCUUUUUCUUUGCGUUUUUCUGUUCUUUCAUUUUUUUAUUUUUUGUAUACAUUCAGAUAUAAAAAAAGAAAAGAGUUAAAGGUAUAAUGAUACCUUCGCGGGCCUUUGGAGCCAUCCUCUACUCUGUCUGAAUCGGAAUGAGAGAGAGGAGUGUUCUGGCUUUCAAGGUGGCGAUGAGGGAAAAGGCUCACCUGUGUGUCGAAACCAUCGAGUCAUCGAACCCUAGUCCGCUUCUUGGUAGUCGGAGAUCGGAAGGGACGAGGGAUUGCGGCGCGUUUCUAUGUAAAUGAGGGCUAGGGUUUCUUUUAGUUCGUUUUUUUAGGUUUCAUUUAUUUAUUUUUUUUAGUUCUGUAAAACUUAAAACGUUGCCGUUUAAGCCACUUAGUUUCAGCAACCCGCGCGGUGACCCGACCCGGGGAGGAUCCGCGCGUUCUGACUUUUUGGAUUAUUUGCGCUUAGAGUCCUUUCAUGUUUUGCUUAGUUUCAAUCGGAUUUCUUUCCAUUUUCCUUAAUUUGUACCGCCUAUUUAAUUCUGUAUUCAUUUAGAUCCAAGUUCAAACGGUGCCGUUUUUGUUAUUGUUUGGGAUUAUUUCGUUGUUUGUGUUUAAUUGCGGAUUUAGUCCUUUAAUUUUGAAACAGGUUUUAAUUAAAUACUGAUUUAUUUU
rnacentral:lncRNA from 1 species